rnacentral:rRNA from 1 species
GACGAACCGUGCAAACGUUGUUCGGAAUCACUGGGCUUAAAGGGCGCGUAGGCGGGCUCGCCAGUCUGUGGUGAAAGCCCCCGGCUUAACCGGGGAAGUGCCGUGGAUACUGCGAGCCUCGAGGAGGGUAGGGGCAUCUGGAACAGCCGGUGGAGCGGUGAAAUGCGUUGAUAUCGGCUGGAACUCCGGUGGCGAAGGCGAGGUGCUGGACCCUUUCUGACGCUGAGGCGCGAAAGCCAGGGGAGCAAACGGG